GACGUAGGGGGCCAGCGUUGCUCGGAAUUACUGGGCGUAAAGGGUUCGUAGGCGGUGUGGCAAGUCGGAAGUGAAAUCUCCAGGCUUAACUUGGAGGCUGCUUCCGAAACUGCCGUGCUAGAGUGCGGGAGAGGCCAGUGGAAUUGCAGGUGUAGCGGUGAAAUGCGUAGAUAUCUGCAGGACCACCCGUGGCGAAGGCGGCUGGCUGGACCGCAUCUGUCGCUGAGGCGCGUAAGCUUGGGGAGCAAUCAGG
rnacentral:rRNA from 1 species